AUUGAACGCUGGCGGCAGGCCUAACACAUGCAAGUCGAACGAGUGGCGGACGGGUGAGUAAUGUCUGGGAAACUGCCUGAUGGAGGGGGCUAACUACUGGAAACGGUAGCUAAUACCGCAUACCAUCAGAUGUGCCCAGAUGGGAUUAGCUAGUUGGUGGGGUAACGGCUCACCAAGGCGACGAUCCCUAGCUGGUCUGAGAGGAUGACCGUCAACACUGGAACUGAGACACGGUCCAGAGUCCUACGGGCGUCAGCAGUGGGGAAAAUUGCACAAUGGGCGUAAGCCUGAUGCAGACACUCCGCGUGUAUGAAGAGGGCCUUCGGGCUGUAAAGUACUUCCAGCGGGGAGGCGUGCACCGCCGAAGGAGCACCGGCUAACCCCGGGCCAGCAGCCGCGGUAAUAC
rnacentral:rRNA from 1 species